UUGAACGCUGGCGGAAUGCUUUACACAUGCAAGUCGAGCGGCAGCGCGGGGCAACCUGGCGGCGAGCGGCGAACGGGUGAGUAAUAUAUCGGAACGUACCCUGUCGUGGGGGAUAACACAUCGAAAGAUGUGCUAAUACCGCAUACGAUCUACGGAUGAAAGCGGGGGACUCGCAAGGGCCUCGCGCGAUUGGAGCGGCCGAUGGCAGAUUAGGUAGUUGGUGGGGUAAAGGCUCACCAAGCCUGCGGUCUGUAGCUGGUCUGAGAGGACGACCAGCCACACUGGGACUGAGACACGGCCCAGACUCCUACGGGAGGCAGCAGUGGGGAAUUUUGGACAAUGGGCGCAAGCCUGAUCCAGCCAUUCCGCGUGCAGGAUGAAGGCCUUCGGGUUGUAAACUGCUUUUGUACGGAACGAAAAGGCUCUGGUGAAUACCUGGGGCUCAUGACGGUACCGUAAGAAUAAGCACCGGCUAACUACGU
rnacentral:rRNA from 1 species